GUGAUAAUGUACGUACAUUCCGAAUUUCACCUUCAGGCUUGGAUGGUCUUGGUGGCCCUGAUAACUGUGGAACUGGCUGUUUUUUCAAUCGUCGUGCUCUUUAUGGUAGCCCAUCAUCAGUUACAUCACUAGAACACUCUAGAGAUAGCCAUACUCGAAGUAUGGCUAUCUCCAGUGUGUCAGUCGUUGAGCUGGCUAGUCAUGCUGCUAGUUGCAACUACGAGUACAACAACACCGAGUGGGG
rnacentral:misc_RNA from 1 species